UGGGCUAUAGCCAAGCGGUAAGGCAACGGACUUUAAUUCCGUCACUCGUUGGUUCGAAUCCAGCUAGCCCAGCCA
rnacentral:tRNA from 1 species